UUUUCAUCUUAACCGUUCAAAUUCAUUUAUUUCUUCAAUCUUAGCCAUUCAAAUAAAAGUUGCUUAAUUUACACCAAAAGAUAUACCGUUCCAAACACACAGAAUAUCCCUCACACACAGUCACCCUUCUUUCACACAAUCGCCCCCAGCACAGCCGUCGCCGGUGUUUGCUGUUCUUUUUAAGGUGUUUACAACAGUGUUGUCACUUCACAUUAUAACGAUCUCUUAGGGGUUAGUUAGCAUUAAUGCUAGACCGCGUGAGAGAAUUGUAAUCAGUGACAGAGUUGUGCCGGAUAAUAAGGUAAUCAACGGCCAACAAUAUGUACCUUGGAGUAGACAAUGAUCCUCCUUCCCAUUUUAUUCAAUGGACAUCAACAGCAAGCUAACUAUUUUUUUUUGAACAGCAAUGGUGAUUAGACUCAGCGGCAUGUCUCUUCAUCGUCCGGUAGAGAUUGACCACGUUACCAGCACAGUCAAUCCGAGGGCAUGACAGGGCAAGCUAACUAUUCUAAAGUAAAUUGGAAAAGAAAGUGCCCUGUCGAGCUUUGAUGAAGAUUUACAACCCUACGAUAGUGGACCAUUACUUCUCAAGCUCAUUUGACCUGUAUUUGAUGGAAUUCAACAGUAGCCGUGUUGCUGAGGCUGCUUCAAUUGCACAGAUAUUGCGUGAGCGGGCCGAAGGAUGCGAGUUACUAAACUACCCAAAACUAUUGGUGUUCCUUUAUAGUAUUAACUAAGUCCAUAAAAGUUUUUACUUGCUGUCUGCGGCAGAUCUUUUAAACCAGGGUUUCAUCUGCCUUAAAGAAAAGUUCAGGGGAUGGACUAGGACAAUUGGAUCCACCCAACCAUGUUCUUAGUAUACAGUCAUUGUGUAGUUUACGUUGAUGUUGCACUUGGUUUAUAAUCCGUGUCAAGCUCUAAAUCCGACAGUUCUACUUCAGACACAAAGAGCAAUAGAAGGUUAUGAAGCAAAUGUGGUUACAGUUUACAUUCUAAAGGUAUGAGCUUUGGAUUGUUUCUUACUCUCAUAAAAUCAUUAUUUGUUACUAAGAUGUAAUGGUCGUCAUUUGUUCUAUAGUUUCUGGUAUUAGAAAUUUGUGCAGAUAUGGUGGUAGAGGAUCAAAUGGUAAGAGGGGUAUUUGGUGUAGGUACGUCUUUUGCCACUUAACCACCGCCCUUUAUUCUUUCUUGCAGUCGUGUUAUUGAAGCAACUGAAUCUACAUCUAUUGUGGUUCAUGCAAUAGGAGAAAACGUAGAUGUCUUAUUAAUCAUAUUAAUCAUUUGUUGUCACUUGG